rnacentral:lncRNA from 1 species
AUCUAGAUUCAAAGAUUUACAAGAAUUGUUUCAAAAUGUGUCCAAAAAGAAGAAUCCUAGAGGAAAGAAAGAAAUGCUUCUACAGAGAGGAAAGAAAAAUUAGACAGACCUAAAAGAAGAAAGAAAAUAUUUCUGGGAAAAAAGGUCUUUAAGUAUUAAAGGCUUUAAUAAUAGAAAGAGAAAUUACAUACAGAAAGAUCUAAAUAGGUGAUAUUUGAAUAGAUGGAAAAGUUUAUAUGUAACUAACUUGGUUAUAAGUACAUGAGACAGUCAAUUAAAGUUAUUUAAGCCUUUUUCCUAUGAUCAAAUAUUACUAUGCUAAUGUAAAUCAAAAUACAAAUUAAUCUCUUAUGCCUAGAAAAUUUUAUUAUUUAAAAAAGAGCUAAUUUUGGGCUGGGUUUGUGGCUCAAAGGUAGAGUAUUUGCCUAGCAUGUGCGAGGCCCUGGGUUCGAUCCUCAGCACCACAUAUAAAUAAAGAAAAUAAACAUAUUGUGUCC